rnacentral:rRNA from 1 species
UACGUAGGGUGCGAGCGUUAAUCGGAAUUACUGGGCGUAAAGCGUGCGCAGGCGGUUUGACAAGUCAGAUGUGAAAGCCCCGGGCUCAACCUGGGAACUGCGUUUGAAACUGUCAGGCUAGAGUGUGUCAGAGGGAGGUAGAAUUCCACGUGUAGCAGUGAAAUGCGUAGAGAUGUGGAGGAAUACCGAUGGCGAAGGCAGCCUCCUGGGAUAACACUGACGCUCAUGCACGAAAGCGUGGGGAGCAAACAGGAUUAGAUACCCUGGUAGU